CUAGUAACGGCGAGUGAAGCGGCAACAGCUCAAAUUUGAAAUCUGGCUCUUUCAGAGUCCGAGUUGUAAUUUGCAGAGGGCGCUUUGGCUUUGGCAGCGGUCCAAGUUCCUUGGAACAGGACGUCACAGAGGGUGAGAAUCCCGUACGUGGUCGCUAGCUAUUGCCGUGUAAAGCCCCUUCGACGAGUCGAGUUGUUUGGGAAUGCAGCUCUAAAUGGGAGGUAAAUUUCUUCUAAAGCUAAAUAUUGGCCAGAGACCGAUAGCGCACAAGUAGAGUGAUCGAAAGAUGAAAAGCACUUUGGAAAGAGAGUCAAACAGCACGUGAAAUUGUUGAAAGGGAAGCGCUUGCAGCCAGACUUGCUUGCAGUUGCUCAUCCGGGCUUUUGCCCGGUGCACUCUUCUGCAGGCAGGCCAGCAUCAGUUUGGGCGGUGGGAUAAAGGUCUCUGUCACGUACCAUCCUUCGGGAUGGCCAUAUAGGGGAGACGUCAUACCACCAGCCUGGACUGAGGUCCGCGCAUCUGCUAGGAUGCUGGCGUAAUGGCUGUAAGCGGCCCGUCUUGAAACACGGACCAAGGAGUCUAACAUCUAUGCGAGUGUUUGGGUGUCAAGCCCGAGCGCGUAAUGAAAGUGAACGGAGGUGGGAACCCGCAAGGGUGCACCAUCGACCGAUCCUGAAGUUUACGGAAGGAUUUGAGUAAGAGCAUGGCUGUUGGGACCCGAAAGAUGGUGAACUAUGCUUGAAUAGGGUGAAGCCAUAGGAAACUCUGGUGGAGGCUCGCAGCGGUUCUGACGUGC
rnacentral:rRNA from 1 species